rnacentral:rRNA from 1 species
GUUGGAUGGGUUGCAAUGCAUUACUAGAUCCAUUUUCUGCCACCGAAUACAUUAGCAUGGGAUAAUGGAAUAGGACCCUGUCCUCCUAUUUUCAGUUGGUUUUGGCAGCGCGAGGACUAGGGUAAUGAUUAAUAGGGAUAGUUGGGGGCAUUAAUAUUUAAUUGUCAGAGGUGAAAUUCUUGGAUUUAUGAAAGAUUAACUUCUGCGAAAGCAUCUGCCAAGGAUGUUUUCAUUAAUCAAGAACGAAAGUUAGGGGAUCGAAGACGAUCAGAUACCGUCGUAGUCUUAACCAUAAACGAUGCCGACCAGCGAUUAGGAGACGUUGAAUACAAAACACCACCAUCGGCGCGGUCGUCCUUGGCGUCGGUCCUUCACGGCGCCGGCGCGGGGGGGGCUUACCGCGGUGGCACCGGAGUGUGUCUCCCUAUGCGCGUGUGAAAA